rnacentral:rRNA from 1 species
GCCAGACUCCUACGGGAGGCAGCAGUGGGGAAUAUUGGGCAAUGGGCGAAAGCCUGACCCAGCGACGCCGCGUGAGGGAAGAAGGUCUUCGGAUUGUAAACCUCUUUCAGCAGGGAAGAAGAAAGUGACGGUACCUGCAGAAGAAGUCACGGCUAACUACGUGCCAGCAGCCGCGGUAAUACGUAGGUGGCGAGCGUUAUCCGGAAUUACUGGGUGUAAAGGGUGUGUAGGCGGGAGUGCAAGUCAGACGUGAAAACUAUGGGCUCAACCCAUAACGUGCGUUUGAAACUGUGCUUCUUGAGAGUGGGAGAGGUAAACGGAAUUCCUGGUGUAGUAGUGAAAUGCGUAGAUAUCAGGAGGAACACCGGUGGCGAAGGCGGUUUACUGGACCACAACUGACGCUGAGACACGAAAGCGUGGGGAGCAAACAGGAUUAGAUACCCGAGUA